GGAGGAAAGUAGGGGAUCGCAAGACCUUGCGCUUUUGGAGCGGCCGAUGCCUGAUUAGCUAGUUGGUGAGGUAAAGGCUCACCAAGGCUUCGAUCAGUAGCUGGUCUGAGAGGACGACCAGCCACACUGGGACUGAGACACGGCCCAGACUCCUACGGGAGGCAGCAGUGGGGAAUUUUGGACAAUGGGGGAAACCCUGAUCCAGCCAUGCCGCGUGAGUGAAGAAGGCCUUCGGGUUGUAAAGCUCUUUCAGCCGGAACGAAACGGUCACGGCUAAUACCUGUGAUCACUGACGGUACCGGAAGAAGAAGCACCGGCUAACUACGUGCCAGCAGCCGCGGUAAUACGUAGGGUGCAAGCGUUAAUCGGAAUUACUGGGCGUAAAGCGUGCGCAGGCGGUUUUGUAAGUCAGAUGUGAAAUCCCCGGGCUUAACCUGGGAACUGCGUUUGAAACUACAAAGCUAG
rnacentral:rRNA from 1 species